rnacentral:lncRNA from 1 species
UGGGGGUCCCUCAUAAGAAGCCAAACAGAGGGGAUCAUCAAAUCUUGGACUUUCAGUCACCAAAACUGUCCUGCCUGAACUCCAUGGACUUCUAGCAGGAGGAGUACAAUCAUCCCUAGACACAGCGCCAAUUGCUUACUCAACACCAUCUUGCCUUUCAUUUCCAGCCAUCAGUUUUGUGAAUGAGAUAUUACAUUGAUUUUAGCAAAACCUGGAAGUCACGAACAAUUUUGAAUUCUGUUUGGCUCACAAGUGCCUUAGAUUUUUCACUUGAAGUUCCUUUUCUGAAUCCUCAUCCUGGGAGAAGAAUCACUCAUGUCAGGAGCUGUUGCCACUUAUAUGGAAACUCUUGGUUGGGAACACCAGUCAGCAGUAGAAGAUGGAGAUCAGAGCCCCUUCAAGCUUCAGCACCUCUCUUGGUUCCUCUUUCAGUUGCUCCAGUCUUCAAAGGCAUUUGCAGUUGGAGUCACUCACGGUUAGAAUCCUCCCUUGGGCUAUAGAAGAGAGCCAGUGGCAAUUCUGGUUUCAAGUUAGAAAGAUUGUUCUCUUUCCAAUGCUGAACCAAAUUGGCUGAGAAGCAACGAUGUGUUCAAAAGAAACCACAGUGGCUCGUCUCACAUGGAGAUUUUCUGAGGUGUGAACACUGAAGACCUUGGGUCCUUGGAGUGCUUUUGUUGCUAAAGAAACUGAAACCGUUUCAAGUGUAGUUUUAUUGAAAAGAGGAACAAUGUUGGGGAGUCAUCGUUAUGCCUGUCUAGAUGAAAUGUGCACAGCUUUCAAGUUAAAACUAUAUAUUUGAAAAUCUAAAAGCUGUCUACAUGGGCCUUUGUAUUAGAAACUCUAUAAUACAUGGAUCAGUGGGAUUCUUUGGAACCUGGGUCGAUUGUGACUAUAUGAAAUAGGCCAGUCCAACUGGGAAUAAAGAGUAAACUACUCAUGCA